UGUUAUUCUUUUACUUAUUACUAGUGAGGAGCCAGAUGAAGAGCUGUAUGAUGACUGUGCUGCUACUUUUGUUCCUCAAGACACCUUUUCCCCUCCUCCUCUCCCUCCCUCCUCCCCUCGCUCACCUCAACACUCUGGCUCUCAGCUUAGCAUCCCUCCACCUCUUCCAAAGAGUAACAGCAACAAUACUCUUGAAAGGGAUGCUUCACCUUAUCCACCUUCAUCUCCUAGUGCACAGAGGAAAGGAUUAAGCAAAGAAGAGAAGCGAUUGAUGAAGG